AUUGAACGCUGGCGGUAGGCCUAACACAUGCAAGUCGAGCGGAGCGGCGGACGGGUGAGUAAUGCCUAGGAAUCUGCCUGGUAGUGGGGGAUAACGUCCGGAAACGGGCGCUAAUACCGCAUACUAUCAGAUGAGCCUAGGUCGGAUUAGCUAGUUGGUGGGGUAAAGGGCUACCAAGGCGACGAUCCGUACCUGGGCUGAGAGGAUGAGCAGUCAAACUAGAACUGAGACACGUUCCAGACUCCUACGGUAGGUAGCUGUGGGGAAUAUUGGACAAUGGGCCAAAGACUGAUCCUGCCAUUCCGCGUGUGUGAAGAAGGUCUUCGGAUUGUGAAGCACUUUAAGUUGGGAGGCGUUACCAACAGAAUAAGCACCGGCUAACUUCGUGCCAGCCGCCGCGGUGAUAC
rnacentral:rRNA from 1 species